UACGGGGGGAGCAAACGUUGUUCGGAAUUACUGGGCGUAAAGGGCUCGUAGGCGGCCAACUAAGUCAGACGUGAAAUCCCCGGGCUCAACCCGGGAACUGCGUCCGAUACUGGUUGGCUUGAAUCCGGGAGAGGGAUGCGGAAUUCCAGGUGUAGCGGUGAAAUGCGUAGAUAUCUGGAGGAACACCGGUGGCGAAGGCGGCAUCCUGGACCGGCAUUGACGCUGAGGCGCGAAAGCCAGGGGAGCAAACGGG
rnacentral:rRNA from 1 species